rnacentral:rRNA from 1 species
UGGGGAAUAUUGGGCAAUGGGCGAAAGCCUGACCCAGCAACGCCGCGUGAGGGAAGAAGGUUUUCGGAUUGUAAACCUCUGUUUUUAGUGACGAAACAAAUGACGGUAGCUAAAGAGGAAGCCACGGCUAACUACGUGCCAGCAGCCGCGGCAAUACGUAGGUGGCAAGCGUUGUCCGGAAUCACUGGGUGUAAAGGGUGCGCAGGCGGGACAGCAAGUUGGAUGUGAAAUGUCGAGGCUUAACCUCGGAACUGCAUCCAAAACUGUAGUUCUUGAGUGAAGUAGAGGUAGGCGGAAUUCCGAGUGUAGCGGUGAAAUGCGUAGAUAUUCGGAGGAACACCGGUGGCGAAGGCGGCCUACUGGGCUUUAACUGACGCUGAGGCACGAAAGCAUGGGGAGCAAACAGGAUUAGAUACCCUGGUAGU